rnacentral:lncRNA from 1 species
AUGUGAAAAUUGUUACAACAUAUAUACUUCUCUAAAAAAACCACACGCUCAAUACAAUUACACUAUUUAAAAAGAACAACUAACUAUCUCCUAAAACAUAAAAAAAGAUAGAAAAAAAAAAGUAAGAUAUAAACUUAAAUUGUUUCUGACCGGUGUGAAUUAUAACGAAAAACUCAUCAAUAUAACCCUUAUUUUAUUAUUGUGUAUCAAAUAAUUAAAUCUUACGCUAAUGAGCACUAAAAUUAGAAUAUUAAAUUUUGAAAUUUAAUUUGCUAUUUCAAUGUAAUUAUCAUUAAUAAAGACUCCCUCAAAAACUGAAAUAACUAUGAAUGAAAACAAUCUAUUAUCUAUUAUAAUAUAUUAAAACAUAAUUUCAACUCUAUUGAAUGACACGUCAUACACUUAUGUGCUACAUCAUAAUAUUUGCGCCACAUCGUUUAUAUUAUUAUGUGGCACCCUUCAUAUAUCUCUAGUAGUCAUCUCACAUCUUCUAUUCCUCAGUUUAGCUUUUGCAUCUCACAUAUCGUAUACAUAAGUUAAAAAUUCUUUCAAAAAAGCUCAUCAUAAUAUAAUUCUACCAUCUUUUCACUUCAAUCAACAUUUGCGACUCCUCCAAUUCUAACUUUACAUAUCCUGUAGAUUAAUUGACAAUAAAAUAUGUCAUAUUGACAUUAUCUCAUCCCAAAUGUUCCAAUAAUCAUUUGCAAGUAUGAAUUCUCACGAAGCCAUAUAUAAAUUCAAUCUCACAAAGCCAUAUUUGAGUCUGAUCUCGUAAAGUCAUCUCUGUUCAUUUCUUGGAAAAUUUGUGUCAUUAUUACACUUAUCUUUGCCUAUGCAACUAACUAUAAAUUGUCCACACAACUAGACAAAAUAUUUUUAUAAAUAUGUAUUUAUAUGUUGUUUUGUGUUCUAAGAUAUUUUAUCGGUAUCAAAAGACAAAAAAUUUGAAGGAGCAUUUCAACACAUUUCAAAGGUACAUACUUUGAGUUUGAAAAAUUGAAUUUAUAUGUCAGAAAGAAUUCAAUUAUUAAGAUUUUCAUGACAUCUUUGGUAUUCUCUAUAUGUCAGAAAUAAUUCAGAUAUUUGCAAUUUUGUUUCAUUAUAUUAGAUUUUCAUGAUAUAUUCGGCAUUUUAUAUAACAAUUUGUAGCUUAUGUCCUAUUAAAAAAUUGUAGCUUAUGUCCUCAAAUCAAUAUAAAAACUAUUUUCAUCUACAAAAUUGAUCGCGACAUUCAAACAUAACCUCUUUCAUAUUUAAUCGAUUCAAUUUUAUAGAGUUCAAAUUCAUAUUACAUCUCACUUGAUCAUGAUAAAUUAUAAACUUUUAAAAUAAUGUGAUCUUAAUUUUUUUAAUUUUAAUAAUAAAAUUUAAUCAAUGACAUUUUACUAUUUAAUAUAAAAUAUUGCAAUUUUGAUUUUUUUAAUAGUUAAUUUAAUAAACAAUUUUUUGACAAAAUUAUUUUAAAAUAAUUGAAAUUUACUUUAAAUAAAACAUUUGAAGUUCCAACAAAUAAUUGUAUUUCCAGAUACGUUGUUAGUAUAUUUUUUAUUAUUAGGAACAGUAUUUAUAGAACAAAACAUGUGAUGCAUGGUUGAAUUGAUUAUUCCCUUGUGUAAAGGAACUUCGUUGUUCAUGUUGAAGAAGAUGUGCUAUUUUAAUUUCACUUUUGUUUUGAUAUAACUCUUUUAAACACUUCAUUUUUUUUUCUUCUAUCACAUUUAUUACACCAUUAUUUAUUUUAAUCUCUCAAUAGAUGUCAAAGGAAUAUAUAAAUGUCUAUUGCUAAUUUUCUUUAAUAAUAAUCAACACAUACCAUUGUUCAUUUUGUGGAUUUAUCUGAGAAACUAAUGUGACAAUCACAUUGAACAAAAUGAUGUACAUUUUGAUUAAUUGAAGUCAACUUGGUUACAUAAUCGAAUCUAUCUAUCUAUAUAUAUACACUAGUGUAGGCAUCAUGCCGUGUACGAGUUAGAGUAAAUAUUUUGAAUUUAAUAUAUAUAUAAACAAUGUAAAAUGAAAUUCAAUUAGAUGAAAAUGUAAAUGGUUUAGGAGAAAUAAUAAAAUAGGGAGAGACACGUGAGCUUUUAAAGUUGAGUUUUUAAUCUCAACAAUCUAUUUUAUUCUAAAAGGUUGAGAAAUAUUCCUCUCAUUUUCACAUAAAAAGAGUAUUCUUAUAAGAUAUCUUCUCUCUUUCUCUCUCUCUCUAUAUAUAUAUAAUAAGAAGAUUGAAUGAAGAUUUAGAAUACAAGGAGCUAUUAAUACUCUUAAGUAUAAUAUUUAUUAAGAUAAAUAAAUAUGUAACACAUUAUCAAUUAACUAUUCCACGGAUAUUGAGUGAGAUGACCAUUUUUCUCUAUAAAAAUUGGUCCUUUUUGGCUUAUAAUCCAAUUAUUAUAAUCCCAAUCAUCUCUAUCGGUUACGAAUAUGUCAAACCGAUGAAAUUCACCUUCCCACUGAAAGGAACAAUAAUAUCUUGUUGUGUGUGAAAAGUUUAUUCCAAAACUCCAAUCAAAAGACUUCUGAAAAGGAAGAACACGAACUCCCAAAUCAUCAUCUGCAGAUUUGCAAUGAGCAGUUAAGUCCAUCUUGUUUUCCAAUCCGUUAGUAACAUUCACAUGUGUUCCAAGAACAUUGUGUACGGAUAACAACAUCAACACACAUAUCAAAAGAAUUUUUUGAAUACAAGAAGACAUUGCAGCUUUAAUUAAUCUUUUAUUUGAAUGUGAGCAAUCUUUGUUAAAACAAGAUAAAAUAAUUUUUUGAAUAAAAUCAC